UACAGAGGGUGCGAGCGUUGUCCGGAAUCACUGGGCGUAAAGGGCGCGUAGGCGGCCUGGUAAGUAGGGGGUGAAAUCCCGCGGCUCAACCGCGGGGGCUGCCUCCUAGACUGCCGGGCUCGAGCAGAGCAGAGGCUAGCGGAAUUCCCGGUGUAGCGGUGGAAUGCGUAGAGAUCGGGAAGAACAUCGGUGGCGAAGGCGGCUAGCUGGGCUCUUGCUGACGCUGAUGCGCGACAGCGUGGGGAGCAAACAGGG
rnacentral:rRNA from 1 species